rnacentral:rRNA from 1 species
AUUGAACGCUGGCGGCAUGCCUUACACAUGCAAGUCGAACGGUAACGGGCCUUCGGGUGCCGACGAGUGGCGAACGGGUGAGUAAUACAUCGGAACGUGCCCGAUCGUGGGGGAUAACGAGGCGAAAGCUUUGCUAAUACCGCAUACGAUCUACGGAUGAAAGCAGGGGACCGCAAGGCCUUGCGCGGACGGAGCGGCCGAUGGCAGAUUAGGUAGUUGGUGGGAUAAAAGCUUACCAAGCCGACGAUCUGUAGCUGGUCUGAGAGGAUAAUCAGCCACACUGGGACUGAGACACGGCCCAGACUCCUAUGGGAGGCAGCAGUGGGGAAUUUUGGACUAUGGGCGCAAGCCUGAUCCAGCCAUGCCGCGUGCAGGAUGAAGGCCUUCGGGUUGUAAACUGCUUUUGUACGGAACGAAAAGCCUUCUUUUAAUACAGGAGGGUCAUGACGGUACCGUAAGAAUAAGCACCGGCUAACUACGUG